UAUUUAUGACAUUUUUUCAUUUUUUUUCCUAAACAGGAAUGAACAUCUGCACAGAUGCUCUCAGUGCAAGGUUGCUAAAUACUGUGGUAAAUCUUGUCAGAAAGAAGCUUGGCUGGACCACAAGCAGGAAUGCAGAUGUCUUAAGAGCAUCAAGCCGAAUUUUCCUCCGGACUCUGUCAGACUUGCUGGAAGGAUUGUUUUUAAACUACUCAGACAGUCAGUAUGCCUCUCUGAGAGACUCUACUCUGUUGCUGAUCUUCAGUCAAAUAUUGAACGGUUAAGUGAAGAAAUGAAAGAUGGCCUCAGGCACCUUGCAGAGACGUUGCAACUGUAUUUGAAAACUGAGAUCCAGGAUGAGUCUCAAUUGCCACCUGCAAUUGACUUUUUUCAGAUCUUCACAAAAGUAAGUGUUAAAAUCAGGUUGCCUGACAACUCAUAAAUUAUGCUUUCCUUGUGUUCUUGACUUAUAUUGGAGUGGGAGUUU
rnacentral:lncRNA from 1 species